AUGCGGGGGAAUGCCCCGCCCGUCACAUGAAAUCCCUGCAACGACGAAACCAGGCAGGGGACGUGAGAACCAGCCUCGAUCACAGGCAAGAGAGAGAAUGAUUAAUCCCGCACAAGGAGUCCACUGUGCAACUUGCUCACAGGAUGGAGUCGACAGGAAACUCCAGCACAACCUUCCGGUGACUGCCAAGGUGGGACGCUUGGAGACUGUGAAGGGGAGCUGUGAUUCUGCUCUGCCGCUUGGAUGGCUUCCAGUCUGAGGCCUGCGUUCGCGUCUGCCGCAGCGCUGAUUUAGUUUGUGACCUGGGGCACGUUUCCUGAGCUCUGAGCUCUUUCCCUUGUCUGUCCAGGACAGGGUGUCUGAGCUGUCACCCACAGAUCUGAGGAGGCUGCUGGGGGAAAUUACAGGGUAGCUUCCUGCCUGCAGCCAGCUCUGCGGGACAGAUCCCAGAGCCAGUUUCCCUGGAUGUCUGCUGCCCAAGAACAUCUGCUCCAAGGCAAGGUGGCAUCAGGCAGCACAGCAGCUCAGACACCUCUUCAUUCUGAGUGUUGCUGUACAGCAAAGCAGGCCCACAAUAUGACUCCAGGGUGAAAGAAAGAGGAGGAAGAGGAGGAGGAGGACUUAUAACCCUUCUUUCUUUGUUCGCAAGAGCAAGGCUAAUGAACCCAGAGACUCUGGAUUAGGCCAGAUUCAUGUCCAAGCUACAGAAUAGGCCACACACUGAACUUGAAGAGGCCAACUAUGAAUAGGAAUUUUUAGUCAUAUGGGAUUGCACUGGGGUGAGGUCACAAUCCUGAAUAGACUGAAGAAAUAAAUCAAUAUAAAUGGCACCGACAAGAAAGCCUGGAAUGUGCAGUUGAGUCUGCCUGAGAGCAUCUCUGUCACCAACACACAUCCAACAACAGGACCUAUGUGCCUUCUGACUGAGACUUUAAGUCCUGCUUAGAGGUAGCAUCUAUUGCUGAUAGGGCCUGAGGAGACACACUAGACUCAAUUUCUCUGCUUCUUGGAUCACAUGAAAAAAUAUGGUUAUGCAUUUCUCUCAAGCCAUGAGACUCAUGUCAAGCAUAGAUUCAGUGAGAAGCAAGUUGCACUGGACAAGACAUCACAGAGACCCCACCUAUGACACGUAUGGAGCCAUCUCUGCUACCACACGAGAGGAGGCGUUGUGCUUCAGAACAGGAUGAAGAAAACUGGGAUCGCUGCCAAGAUUCUGUGCUUUGGGAUUUUGUGCUGCAAUGUCAGGGAAAUUCAGGGCCACCACCAAAUUCAGGAGGGGAUUUCGAGAGAGCAAGAUUACAGUUCCUGCUAUGUCUGAAAAACUGCACAAAGUUAAUUAUGAUGAUUAUGUGUGUGGUAUUUGUGUACACUUGUAUGUGAAGGUCAGAUGUCAAUAACAAGUGUCUUCCUCAAUCACUCCACACCUUAUUUUUGAGACAGGGUCUUUCACUGAACCUAGGUAGGGUUCACUGGUUUGGUUUGAUGGGUUGGCCGAUGAGCUCCAGGAAUCUACCCAACUCUGCCUCUCCAGUGCUAGGAUUACAGACAUAUGCUGCCGAGCCUAGCUUUUAUGUAGGUGCUGAGAAUCUGAACUCAAGUCCUCAUAGUUGCACAACAAGCACUUUCUUUACCAACUGGGCCACCUCAUCAGCCCCAUCAAGGUAAUUAUCAAGAAAUAACUAACUGAGGCUGGAGAGAUGGUUCAGCAGAACCCACAUGGCAGCU